rnacentral:misc_RNA from 1 species
GAUGAAGAACGUAGCGAAAUGCGAUAAGUAAUGUGAAUUGCAGAAUUCAGUGAAUCAUCGAAUCUUUGAACGCACAUUGCGCCCGCCAGUAUUCUGGCGGGCAUGCCUGUUCGAUCGUCAUUUCAACCCUCAAGCCCCCGGGCUUGGUGUUGGGGAUCGGCGUGCCCUCGCGGCGCGCCGUCCCCUAAAUCUAGUGGCGGUCUCGCUGUAGCUUCCUCUGCGUAGUAGCAACACUCGCACUGGAUCGCAGCGCGGCCACGCCGUUAAACCCCCCACUUCUGAAAGUUUGACCUCGGAUCAGGUAGGAAUACCCGCUGAACUUAAGCAUAUCAAUAAGCGGAGGA